rnacentral:rRNA from 1 species
UACAGAGGCCCCAAGCGUUACUGAGAACCACUGGGUUUAAAGGGUGCGUAGGUGGCGCGUUAAGUCCGUUGUGAAAUCCCUGGGCUCAACCCAGGAAUUGCUUCGGAUACUGGCGUGCUUGAGGCUAGUAGGGGUCACUGGAACUGACGGUGGAGCGGUGAAAUGCGUAGAUAUCGUCAGGAACGCCGAUGGUGAAGACAGGUGACUGGGCUAGUUCUGACACUGAGGCACGAAAGCGUGGGGAGCGAACGGG